UGAGAAAAGACCUGUUUUGAUGUGAAUGA
rnacentral:piRNA from 1 species